rnacentral:rRNA from 1 species
GACGAACGCUGGCGGCGUGCUUAACACAUGCAAGUCGAACGAAGUGGCGAACGGGUGAGUAACGCGUAAUCAACCUGCCCUUCAGAGGGGGACAACAGUUGGAAACGACUGCUAAUACCGCAUACUGAAGGGGGGGAUUGCGUCUGCUUAGCUAGUUGGAGGGGUAACGGCCCACCAAGGCGAUGAUCAGUCGCCGGUCUGAGAGGAUUAACCGCCAACUUGGGACUGAGACACGGCCCAGACGCCCACGGGGGGGAGCAGUGGGGAAUCUUUCGCAAUGGACGAAAGUCUGACGGAGCAACGCCGCGUGAGUGAUGACGGCCCUCGGGUUUGAAAGCUCUGUUAAUCGGGACGCGGUACCGGAAUAGAAAGCCACGGCUAACUACGUGCCAGCAGCCGCGGUAAUAC